rnacentral:rRNA from 1 species
CCUACGGGAGGCAGCAGUGGGGAAUAUUGCACAAUGGGCGAAACCCUGAUGCAGCGACGCCGCGUGAGUGAAGAAGUAAUUCGUGAUGUAAAGCUCUAUUAGCAGGGAAGAAAAUGACGGUACGUGAGUAAGAAGCCCCGGCUAACUCCGUGCCAGCAGCCGCGGUAAUACGUAGGGGGCAAGCGUUAUCCGGAUUUACUGGGGGUAAAGGGAGCGUAGACGGCAGUGCAAGUCUGGAGUGAAAGGCGGGGGCUCAACCUCCGGACUGCUCUGGAAACUGGACGGCUGGAGUGCAGGAGAGGUAAGUGGAAUUCCUAGUGUAGCGGUGAAAUGCGUAGAUAUUAGGAGGAACACCAGUGGCGAAGGCGGCUUACUGGACUGUAACUGACGUUGAGGCUCGAAAGCGUGGGGAGCAAACAGGAUUAGAUACCCUUGUAGUC